CAGUAGCCGCGGUAAUACGUAGGGUGCAAGCGUUAUCCGGAAUUAUUGGGCGUAAAGAGCUCGUAGGCGGUUUGUCGCGUCUGUCGUGAAAGUCCGGGGCUCAACUCCGGAUCUGCGGUGGGUACGGGCAGACUAGAGUGAUGUAGGGGAGACUGGAAUUCCUGGUGUAGCGGUGGAAUGCGCAGAUAUCAGGAGGAACACCGAUGGCGAAGGCAGGUCUCUGUGCAUUAACUGACGCUGAGGAGCGAAAGCAUGGGGAGCGAACAGGAUUAGAUACCCCCGUAGUCCCUGUCUCUUAUAC
rnacentral:rRNA from 1 species